rnacentral:lncRNA from 1 species
CUAGUCCAACCCGCCGGAACGCAAAAAUCUUUUGCCCAACGUGGGGCUCAUGCUUUACUGACUGAGCUCUCCUUCAGCUGCGACGCGUGAAAUGGGUCGCCUUGCGCCGAACCCAUCAGUGCCGAAGCUUCCUCGGCGGCGCCUCGGAGCGCACGGGUCGGAAGUGGGGCAAGGCGCCGGGCUUCCCGCAACUAGAUCCACGCCCCAAGCAGGACAACCCUAGGCAAUCGCAAGAAAGUCCCUGGGGCUUACUCCAGAGUAAGUGAGUACAGGCGUGCAGCCCAAGUGCCACUUGCUUGGGUGACAGUUGCAUGGGAUGGAUCGCAACCUCUGCAGGCGCGUGUUGGCUCCGGACCAGGAGGAAGCCUCGCUGGAUGCAGGGGCGCUUACUCCGCAAUGUCCAGGGGAGCAGCUUUCAAGAGAUUUCCUCCGACGGCUGAGAGACGCCUGUCCCAAGGGCUCUGCUGUCCUCUGUCUCGAGCAGCGCUCAUGCAAACAGCUAAUAGCCGGGUGUGCAAGCGCAGCAAGGCUGCCGAGUUGGCUCCUGGUGAACGCGCAGCAAAGCAGAAAGAAAGACUUGGUCCCAUCCUGGAGCCCCAGUGGUGGCACCUGAAAUGCAUAGGUGGGGGUGUUUGUUUGGGAACUCGGCAGCUUACAGAUAAAAAUAAGAACAGCUAAAAACAUUGAAAAUAACAGUCAUAAAAAAUAAACACUGAUAGAGUUAUCAUUGUGUAUAAACUUACAGGCUUAAGCAGUAUGUGGACUGAGAACUCCCAGAAGUGCAAGCUGGAUUUCAAAGGGGCAGAGGAACCAGAGACCAAAUUGCAAACAUGUGCUGGAUUAUGGAGAAAGCUAGAGAGUUCCAGAAAGACAUCUACUUCUGCUUCAUUGACUAUGCAAAAGCCUUUGACUGUGUUGACCACAGCAAACUAUGGCAAGUUCUUAAAGAAAUGGGAGUGCCUGAUCACCUCAUCUGUCUCCUGAGAAAUUUCUACGUGGGACAAGAAGCUACACUUAGAACUGGAUAUGGAACAACUGAUUGGUUCAAAAUUGGGAAAGGAGUACGCAAGGCUGUAUAUUGUCUCCCUGCUUAUUUAACUUAUAUGCAGAAUUCAUCAUGCGAAAGGCUGGGCUGGAUGAAUCCCAAGCUGGAAUUAAGAUCGCCGGAAGAAAUAUCAACAACCUCAGAUAUGCAGAUGACACAACCUUGAUGGCAGAAAGUGAGGAGGAAUUAAAGAACCUUUUAAUGAGGGUGAAAGAGGAGAGCGCAAAAUAUGGUCUGAAGCUCAACAUCAAAAAAACGAAGAUCAUGGCCACUGGGCCCAUCACCUCCUGGGAAAUAGAAGGGGAAGAAAUGGAGGCGGUGAGAGAUUUUACUUUCUUGGGUUCCAUGAUCACUGCAGAUGGUGACAGCAGUCACGAAAUUAAAAGAUGCCUGCUCCUUGGGAGAAAAGCAAUGACAAACCUAGACAGCAUCUUAAAAAGUAGAGACAUCACCUUGCCAACAAAGGUCCGUAUAGUAAAAGCCAUGGUUUUCCCAGUAGUGAUGUAUGGAAGUGAGAGCUGGACCAUAAAGAAGGCUGAUCGCCUAAGAAUUGAUGCUUUUGAACUGUGGUGCUGGAGGAGACUCUUGAGAGUCCCAUGGACUGCAAGAAGAUCGAAUGUAUCCAUUCUUAAGGAAAUCAGCCUCGAGUGCUCACUGGAAGGACAGAUCGUGAAGCUGAGGCUCCAAUACUUUGGCCACCUCAUGAGAAGAGAAGACUCCCUGGAAAAGACCCUGAUGUUGGGAAAGAUUGAGGGCACAAGAAGAAGGGGACGACAGAGGACGAGAUGGUUGGACACUGUUCUCGAAGCUACAAACAUGAGUCUGACCAAACUGCGGGAGGCAGUGGAAGACAGGAGUGCCUGGCGUGCUCUGGUCCAUGGGGUCACGAAGAGUCGGACACGACUAAACGACUAAACAACAACAA